CACUAACGUGGCAUUUUAUAUUUUUAAAAAUUAUUAAAAAUUUACUUAUAAAAAAAUAAAAAAUUUAUAUUUUUAAAAAAAUUAUAAAAAUAAAAAAAUGAUAAUUUUAAAAACUUAUUAAAAGUUUAAAUUUUAUAAAAACAAAUUCAAAAAAGGAAAUAAAUUCAGGAAAUAUGUGUAUUUUGAGAAACAACAUAAAAGAAAUUAGCAAACCAUGAAGAGAGAUCACAAUCAUCCCCAACCCAAUCCAGACCCCUCGGCUCAUCCGUCAGCGGCGGUUCUUCAACCGGAAAAGCCAACAAAUUUUUGAGGAAGCUUCCUUCUCAGAUUACGGUCUCAAAGCAAUUCCUAAUAAGGCUAUUUAUUCUCAAAAUACUCAAAAUCAAACCCAAUCCCAGACCCACGAUUCUGCGUCUUCUACCAGCUGCGGUGGUGGGAUUGAUGAGGUUGUGAGGGAAAAGGAAAGCGAUGACAUAGUGAGGAGAACACCGAUCACAAUGAGCAAGUCAAUUCGAGAUCCACGAAACGACUGCGCUUUAUCCCUACAACCACCCGCCAUCAGUCCAACACUCUUAAACAGAGCGCAAAAACAGAGAGAUGAAGAAGAGAAAUGGGUCUUUGCUUAAAUCUAUUGCACCAAUGAAAAGAAAAGUUGAAAAUUUUAAGCUAAUAAUUUUCUGGGUUUUUAUUUAUUUAUUCUUAUUAAGAGAAAUAAACAAAGAGCUUAGUCUUGCCACGUCACACAAAAUUGUUAAUCGUUGGUUGACUAACGGUUUCUGUCAAUUUUGGCCUUCUCUGAAAAAAACUGCAACGUUGUGAAUAAGAAUGACAAAAAAAGAAAUAUUAAGG
rnacentral:lncRNA from 1 species